GGAUGAGCCCGCGGCCUAUCAGCUUGUUGGUGAGGUAAUGGCUCACCAAGGCGACGACGGGUAGCCGGCCUGAGAGGGCGACCGGCCACACUGGGACUGAGACACGGCCCAGACUCCUACGGGAGGCAGCAGUGGGGAAUAUUGCACAAUGGGCGAAAGCCUGAUGCAGCGACGCCGCGUGAGGGAUGACGGCCUUCGGGUUGUAAACCUCUUUCAGCAGGGAAGAAGCGAAAGUGACGGUACCUGCAGAAGAAGCGCCGGCUAACUACGUGCCAGCAGCCGCGGUAAUACGUAGGGCGCGAGCGUUGUCCGGAAUUAUUGGGCGUAAAGAGCUCGUAGGCGGCUUGUCACGUCGGUUGUGAAAGCCCGGGGCUUAACCCCGGGUCUGCAGUCGAUACGGGCAGGCUAGAGUUCGGUAGGGGAGAUCGGAAUUCCUGGUGUAGCGGUGAAAUGCGCAGAUAUCAGGAGGAACACCGGUGGCGAAGGCGGAUCUCUGGGCCGAUACUGACGCUGAGGAGCGAAAGCGUGGGGAGCGAACAGGAUUAGAUACCCUGGUAGUCCACGCCGUAAACGGUGGGCACUAGGUGUGGGCGACAUUCCACGUCGUCCGUGCCGCAGCUAACGCAUUAAGUGCCCCGC
rnacentral:rRNA from 1 species